AGGGGUAUAGCUCAGUGUUAGAGUGCAUGUUUAGCACACAUGGGGUCCUGGGUUCAAUCCUCAGUACCUCCA
rnacentral:tRNA from 1 species